rnacentral:tRNA from 1 species
GGGUAACUGAAGGGAAUUGGCAUACCUUCUUGAUUUAGAUUCAGGAGCUUCUCGGUUCGAGUCCGAGGUUGCCCACCA